rnacentral:rRNA from 1 species
UGGCUAACAUGCAGUCGAACGUGCCCGCAAGGGCAAGUGGCGAAAGGGUCAGUAAUGCGAUCGAACGUACCCCGAGGUGGGGGAUAGGGUGGCGAAAGUCACCAUAAUACCCCAUGAUCUCUCCGGAGCAAAGGUUUACCGCCUUGGGAGCGGCGAUCGUCCUAUCAGGUAGUUGGCGGGGUAAAGGCCCACCAAGCCGUAGACGGGUAGCGGGUGUGAGAGCACGGCCCGCGACAUCGAAACUGAGACACUGUUCGGACUCCUACGGGAGGCUGCAGUAACGAAUCUUCCGCAAUGGGCGCAAGCCUGACGGAGCAAUGCCGCGUGUGGGAUGAAGCGUCUCUGACGUGUAAACCACUGUCAGGGGGCAGGAACAAUGACCGCCCCCAAAGGAAGUGGCGACUAACUCUGUGCCAGCAGUCGCGGUAAUACAGAGGCCACAAGCGUUAGUCGGAAUCACUGGGCUUAAAGGGUGCGUAGGCGGCUCGACAAGUGCUUUGUGAAAUCCCGGGGCUCAACCCCGGAACAGCAGGGCAUACUGUCGAGCUCGAGGCAGGUAGGGGUCGCGAGAACAGUAGGUGGAGCGGUGAAAUGCGUAGAUAUCUACUGGAAUGCCGAUGGUGAAGACGCGCGACUGGGCCUGUCCUGACGCUGAGGCACGAAAGCGUGGGGAGCAAACAGGAUUAGAUACCCUGGUAGUCCACGCCGUAAACGAUGUACACUAGACUGGUGCGGUUUUGACGCCGUACCAGUCGUAGUA